AUGCAGGAUAAAAACAUGCCGCUGAACCUCAUACUUGCCGCUAGAAUGAAGUUCACCACGUACGACAAGGCAUGGGACUUUUACAACAAUUAUGCAAGAUGUGCAGGGUUUGGCAUACGCAAGAGGGCAAAACACAGGACAAAUGCCCACAUUGUCUGCUCAAGAGAAGGGACGCACAAGCAGACUGUGUCAGGUUGUAACCGGAAACGUCAGAAGACAUAAAAAAGGAUUGAUUGCAAGGCAAAAAUUAGAGUCAAAAAGAGGAAGGAUGGCAAAUUUGUGAUAGAAAUGGUUAAACUCAACCACAAUCACAAGAUGCUGGAAAGCCCCGGGAUGCUUUUGCACAUGCGAUUGCACAAAAGAGACGAUCCUUUGAUUGACCAGUUAGUGAAAGACAUGCAACUGGACAACCACACACACGCUCAGAUGAUGUCAACGCUGUCGCGUAUGUCCGGUGGUCAGCAGUACAUGGGACAUACUAGCCGCAACUGGGUAAACAAGAAACAUAAGUUUGCCAGAGGAGAGUCCCAAGAUGACAUCAAGAAACUUCUGGAUUUCUUCGAGAAGAUGCAGAAGAUAAACCCAGAGUUCUUCUAUGAUUAUGACGUUGCUGCAGAUAACCGUGUAAGAAACGUCUUUUGGGCCAACGCAAGUUGCAAAGGAUCGUAUGAAGAUUUUGGAGACUGCGUUACAUUUGACACGACAUAUAAAACUAACAAAUUCCACAUGUCGCUGGGAGUCUUCGUGGGAGUGAACCAUCAUCCACAGAGCACCAUAUUUGCUGUUGCCCUCGUGCGAGAUGAAACAAUACCAUCGUUCAAGUGGGUUUUCAAAACAUUUCUGAGGUGUAUGAACAACAAGCCGCCAAUCUGCAUGCUCACAGACCAGUGUUCUUCGAUGAAGGCAGCAUUAAAAACUAUCCUCCCAGAUACACUACAUAAGUUGCGGUGGCAUAUCAUGAAGAAGUACAAAGACCACCUCGCCUUGCUGUAUAAGGCGCACGAGAAACUCAAGGAUGACCUCAAUGCGGUGCUGAACCACCCACUAAUGUCGUCAGAAUUUGAACGAGCAUGGAAGGACCUCAUUCAGAAAUACAACUUGCAAAACGAUGAAGUGAUGAAUUCGCUGUGGGAUGACAGGCACGAGUGGAUCUCGGCUUACUACAAGGAAAUUUUCUGUGCUCGGAUGACUUCCACGCAGAGAACCGAGAGCAUGAACCGCAUACUGAAGAAAAACUUCGUCAAAGAGAAGCAUGAUCUCCAUAUGUUUGCUCAGCAGGUGGACAAGUGCAUUCAGACCAGGAAGGCCGUCAAGCAUGCAGAGAUAGUAGCAAAUGAGGUAAAUAAAAUGUCCAUCAAAAACUGCUAA
rnacentral:rRNA from 1 species